UCUCUAAGCAGGCAAUCCUUUCAUUCUUUAUGACCUUAUAUUACUUUGUUCAUUCUUCUUUUAGGGUAUUUAGUGUAUUUUGCUCUAAUUCCCUUGCUUUAGGUAACUGAAAGGCUUACUAGAAUAUUCAUCCCACAGGUCUAUGAUGGGCUAGCACACAACAUAUAACAGAAAUUCAGUUAAAUGUUUGUUGAAUCAAUUUUAUUGCAUGUUUCCGUAUUCAAGCACCAUGGAGCAACAUAAUGACAAAUGAAUCCUCACCACUGGGCCUUGUGUGGAACUGUGGCAACACCAAAGCUUCAACAAUACAAUGGAAUGUAUUUGUAGGGGAUUUAAUUUACGAAACCUACAUUAACAUCUUAGUCAUGAGUCUUAAAACAAGGAUACCUGCAAAGAAUAUGAAAAAGAAUACUACUGAGUGUCUUUGCUUACUAGCAAAGUUACUCACAGAAGCUGGACAAUGGUCCACGUAAGGACGGAGUAUUUAUAUUGCUGAAGAAGAGCCCUCAGGCUUAGCUCGCAGGUGCAUAGGUGACAGGAUUGGCAUUUUUUUGAAGGUUAAGAAAUUGAAUGCAAUUUCCUCUAGGGAAAGGAUUUCUUUCCUGUUUGAAUGUUGAAGUUGGGCUGAAAAGACCACAAGCCUCACCAGGCAACUUGACACGUCAUAACAAAACCAGGUUAUUUUGAGGAGAUUUUUUUCUCCGAGACCAUUAUGAUGGCUAUAAUUCUAGCUCUUGUGCAAAUGCUUAAGAUCUGGAGCAAAUCAUCUGCUCCUGAAAGCUUCUGCAUUUUUAUUUCGUUUUGUUACUAUUGCACAAAUACAUUGUUUGCUACAAUGAACUAAUUUCUUUGAUGCUAGCCAAAGGUACUUUUACCAUUGUUUGUUUGUAAUAACCAAGAUUUCCUCUGUGAAGGGUGUGAAAUUAAUAAAUACCAAUAGUGAGAACCAUUUGCUAGAAAUUUAGUGUUCAUAAAAAACAAACAGAAAGCAAAUGUUGUGUAUUUACAUAGGCCAGAGCGAUAGCGCCCAUCUGACUCCUGAAAACACAUCCAGCAUUCAUAAGCAUCCAAGAGCCACAGUCACACUCUCCUUCAUUAUGAGAAUGUCCCAUGUCACAGCAGAACCUAUUCCCAGGCUUUUCUUCAUCCGUUCUCCCAGAGGUGGUCUGUGACACCACUGAAAUGCUUUGUGCUUUCAAAGUGAACACAAACAUGGUUUAGUUUCUGUACUUUCACAGGAGGAAAAUGCUGUAUGCUGCAUAUUUAUAUUACAAGCUUCUUCAACUUGCUGCGAACAGUAUUACCAGCAUUUAGUCACUCUCCGGUGCAAACAGCUGACAGCACGUAAGGGGAGGUAGGCAGGGUUCUGGACUUAGGGUUCUCCGUUGGCAGCCUGUUUCAGUGUAAACUCAGUCUGCCCUUCGCUCCGGAAGUGCAGGCUUCCUCUAGGCAGUGCCAGCAUGCCAUUCCUGGGCCUCCUUAGGUCCUGGCUCCUGGGUGUCGGGGUGGGAGAACUAAGCCGUCAGAAAUAAAGAGAUCUGAGAGGAGCAGUCAGAGGACAAGGGAAGAUGGUCUAACUAAAACACAGAUGGCUCUUACGUGGUUUGCAAACGAUUUUGGAGUUAAUUACAAAAGAAAAGUUUUAAAGAUGGUCUAAGUAAUACUACAGUCACCAUAUGGUUUCCCAAAAGGGUAUCAUUUUAAAAAAUAAUCAUUUUGAUUCUGUGAGUUAUGAUAUACUUGCUUUAAAAACCAUUACAAGUUCAUUAGAUAGUAUAAAAAGCACUGUUUAAACAAUGGUUAUAAUCUAUAGAUAAAAUAAUUUGUGGGUCGGGUGCGAUGAAUAACACCUUAAUUUUACAGUGUAAGAUCAAAUCCAACACUACACGCUUCUGUAACAGCCACAAUUAAAAGCUGCUGGCACCUGGUGAGGAAUCGGAUGGAGAGGCCGAAAGCAAAGUUAAAAGCUGGCCUUAGAGUACCUACGUGGAGUCUGGGGAGGAGAGCAGAGGCCUCACCUUAGUCCUCUAGGGAGAGGCGGCAUAGGAUGCAAUCCAGCAGCUGUAGUUCAACAAACCAGUUUCAUGCUGGCUUCUCCCCUUUGUAACUGAGUAACCAACCACCUCUGCAACUAUUUGAUUCUUAAGUCAGUUGCCCUAACUGGCAGUGUAUUCACCAAUCCAAAUUUUUUUCUCACUUAUUGCAGUAAAACUAAGAAAUGAGUCAUAAAGAUAAAUUUAAUCUGACAUGAUAGGGCAUUAAAUUCAGCUUUCAGAUUGGUUUCCAUGUCAUACUUAUUUAUGUAUAAGCACUUUAUAGUUUCUGGAGAUUUGCUUUAUAG